UCGCAAGACCUCACGCUCUUGGAGCGGCCGAUGUCGGAUUAGCUAGUUGGUGAGGUAAAGGCUCACCAAGGCGACGAUCUGUAGCGGGUCUGAGAGGAUGAUCUGCCAUACUGGGACUGAGACACGGCCCAGACUCCUACGGGAGGCAGCAGUGGGGAAUUUUGGACAAUGGGCGCAACCCUGAUCCAGCCAUGCCGCGUGAGUGAAGAAGGCCUUCGGGUUGUAAAGCUCUUUCGGCGGGGAAGAAAUGGCAACGGCUAAUAUCCGUUGUUGAUGACGGUACCCGCAUAAGAAGCACCGGCUAACUACGUACCAGCAGCCGCGGUAAUACGUAGGGUGCGAGCGUUAAUCGGAAUUACUGGGCGUAAAGCGUGCGCAGGCGGUUUCNNAAGACAGACGUGAAAUCCCCGGGCUCAACCUGGGAACUGCGUUUCUGACUGCAGGGCUAGAGUACGGCAG
rnacentral:rRNA from 1 species